rnacentral:rRNA from 1 species
UACGGAAGGCAGCAGUGGGGAAUAUUGCACAAUGGGCGAAAGCCUGAUGCAGCUAUGCCGCGUGUAUGAAGAAGGCCUUAGGGUUGUAAAGUACUUUCAUCGGGGAGGAAAAAACAAAACUAAUAAUUUUAUUUCUUGACGUUACCCGAAAAAGAAGCACCGGCUAACUCCGUGCCAGCAGCCGCGGUAAUACGGAGGGUGCUAGCGUUAAUCAGAAUUACUGGGCGUAAAGAGCACGUAGGUGGUUUUUUUAAGUCAGAUGUGAAAUCCCUGGGCUUAACCUGGAACUGCAUUUUGAAACUGAAAUACUAGAGUAUCGUAGAGGGAGGUAGAAUUCUAGGUGUAGCGGUGAAAUGCGUAGAUAUCUGGAGGAAUACCUGUGGCGAAAGCGGCCUCCUAAACGAAUACUGACACUGAGGUGCGAAAGCGUGGGGAGCAAACGAGGAUUAGGAUACCCGU